GCAGCCUUAAUGUUCAACUUUUUUCUCCAGUCCCAGACUCCACGAUCCACCUCUUCACGUGUCAUCCCAUCUCUCACCAGGCAAAACGAAACUCCCAAUUCCGUCUGCACAUUUCUGUUCCUUGCUUCAUCGUCAAAAAAUAACAUAUCUUCAUAUCGUAUUCCACUUGCUUGAUGUAUUCGCGAGAAAUGUUGCGACUUAUCCCCAGGGAAAAUCUGAACAUAGUCAAAAUAAUCCAGAGCACGGACAGAGCGAUUAUUGGCUGCCGUGGGGUUAUCCGAGAACGAUGGUAUGAUAUGUAAUGUCUUAAGCAUAUCUCGAGCAAUGUCUGGAGCGUACGUCCUCGACGCAAUCCCUAUGGGUAUGGAUCGCGAACGACACGCAUGCAAGAUAGAGGAUACGGCGGGGUAAAAUGCGAAAGAUUCACCCCACCUAUAACAAACCCAGAAUCAAACAAAUCAGAAGUCAGUCGCCGGUAAGAUGCGAUAAGUCAUUACCUACUACAGGUCGAAUACGAAAAGUUUCGGCAAAGGAAGUCCAUCGUUGA
rnacentral:sRNA from 1 species